rnacentral:rRNA from 1 species
CCUACGGGAGGCAGCAGUGAGGCAUAUUGGUCAAUGGGCGCGAGCCUGAACCAGCCAAGUAGCGUUAAGGAUGACUGCCCUACGGGUUGUAAACUUCUUUUAUAAAGGAAUAAAGUGAGGCCCGUGUGCCUUUUUGUAUUUACUUUAUGAAUAAGGAUCGGCUAACUCCGUUCCAGCAGCCGCGGUAAUACGGAGGAUCCGAGCGUUAUCCGGAUUUAUUGGGUUUAAAGGGAGCGUAGAUGGGUUGUUAAGUCAGUUGUGAAAGUUUGCGGCUCAACCGUAAAAUUGCAAUUGAUACUGGCAGCCUUGAGUACAGUUGAGGUAGGCGGAAUUCGUGGUGUAGCGGUGAAAUGCUUAGAUAGCACGAAGAACUCCGAUGGCGAAGGCAGCUUACUAAACUGCCACUGACAUUGAUGCUCGAAAGUGUGGGUAUCAAACAGGAUUAGAUACCCUUGUAGUC